rnacentral:rRNA from 1 species
GAUGAACGCUGGCGGCGUGCUUAACACAUGCAAGUCGAACGAUGAAGCGCAGGUCGCUGGGUGGAUUAGUGGCGAACGGGAGAGUAACUCGUGAGUAACUCGCCCUUAACACGUGGAUAAGACCGGGAAACCAGGACUAAUCUCACAUAGCAGUGCCUACAGAAAGGUGGGUGCCGGAAAGAUUGAUCGGUUUUGGAUGUACGUGCGGUCUAUCGGCUUGCUGGUGAGGUAAGGGAACACGAAGGCGACGUCGGGUAGCCGGCAUGAGGGGGUGAACGGCCACAGUGGGACUGAGAGAGGGCCCAGGCUCCUACGGGGGGCAGCGGUUGGAAUUAUUACACAGUGGGCGAAAGCCUGAUCAAGAGACGCCGCGUGAGGGAUGACGGCCUUCGGGUUGUAAAACUCUUUCAGUAAGGAGGAAGCGAAAGUGACGGUACCUACAGAAGAAGCACCGGCUAACUACGUG